rnacentral:rRNA from 1 species
GAUGAACGCUAGCUACAGGCUUAACACAUGCAAGUCGAGGGGCAGCAUGAACAAAGCUUGCUUUGUUUGAUGGCGACCGGCGCACGGGUGCGUAACACGUAUCCAAUCUGCCCGCGGCUCGGGGAUAGCCCAUCGAAAGAUGGAUUAAUACCCGAUGGCGUGGUUUCUCCGCAUGGAGUUUCCACUAAAGGUUUUCCGGCCGCGGAUGAGGAUGCGUAUGAUUAGGUAGUAGGCGGGGUAACGGCCCACCUAGCCUUCGAUCAUUAGGGGUUCUGAGAGGAAGGUCCCCCACACUGGAACUGAGACACGGUCCAGACUCCUACGGGAGGCAGCAGUGAGGAAUAUUGGUCAAUGGGCGAGAGCCUGAACCAGCCAAGUAGCGUGAAGGAAGACUGCCCUAUGGGUUGUAAACUUCUUUUGUUCGGGAAUAAAGUGCAGUACGCGUACUGUUUUGUAUGUACCGUUCGAAUAAGCAUCGGCUAAUUCCGUGCCAGCAGCCGCGGUAAGAC